rnacentral:tRNA from 2 species
GGCCCCUUGGUCAAGCGGUUAAGACACCGCCCUUUCACGGCGGUAUCAGGGGUUCGAGUCCCCUAGGGGUCACCA